ACAAUGAAUGUUAACUCAAAAAACGUGAAUUGUUUGUAAUUUCCUGUGGAAAAGCUUCAGACAUCUAACCUCAAGACAGAAGAAAAUGCAUCAUGUGUUAAUCAGGCAGAACAAGGAAUAGGAAAAUAGGAGCCUGGAUGCAAAUAUUUCACCAAUCUCAGUGAUGUGGAGAAAACAAAGAAACCUGCUGAGUUCACCCUGUAGUGACUUCGUGGAUGAGGAUGAUCCCUACCCACACAACAGUGGUUCAGUCAAGCAGCUGGAGCCCUGACAACCCAGUGCUCCCAGCAAGUAACAUCUCAGCAUUUAAAAGGUGAAACAAGAGAGAAAUAUUUAUCUCACACAGGGCAAUUAUUAGAUGCAACUGAAACAGGCAUUUGAAAUGAAGCUCUAUCAGUUGCCAGGUAAGCAGAACAUA